CUUCCGUCCUGGCUUCAGUGGGGAACAAGUACCUCUGCCAGACGGCCCUUCCUUCCUCUAGGGUGACUCGGGAGGGCCCAGGCCCACCGCUUCCUUCCUGCUUGGUUAUUUCGGGAAAGAGAUGGCGUUCAGAAAGGUGGGGCACCAAUCUACAGAUUCAGUGCAAUCCCUAUCAAAAUACCAAUGGCAUUUUUUACAGAACUAGAAUAAUUAUAAAAUUUGGAUGGAAACACAAAAGACCCUGCAUAGCCAAAAUAAUCUUGAGAAAGAUGAGCAAAGCUGGAGAUGCCACACGCCCUGAUUUCAAACUAUACUAAAAAGCUACAGUAAUCAAAACAGUACAGUACUGGCACAAAAACAGACACAUAGAUCAAUGGAACAGAACAGAGAGAACAGAAAUGGACCCACAUUUAUAUGGGCAAUUGAUAUAUGACAAAGGAGGCAAGAAUAUACAACAGGGAAAAGACAGCCUCUUCAACAAACGGUGCUGAAAAAACUGGACAGCUGCAUGCAAAAGAAUCAAACUGGACUACUCUCACUAUGAACAAAAAUAAAUUCAAAAUAGAUUAAGGACUUAAAUAUUUAAGACUUGAAACCAUAAAACUCCUAGAAGAAAACACAGGCAGUACGCUCUUUGACAUCAAUCUUUGUAAUAUUUUUUUGGGUAUGUCUCCGCAGGCAAGGGAAACAAAAGCAAAAAUAAACAAAUGGGACUACAUCAAACAAAAAAGCUUCCGUAUGGGGAAGGAAACUGUCAACAAAACUAAAAGGCCACCUACUGAAUGGGAGAAAUUAUUUGCAAAUGAUAUAUCUGACAAGGGGUUAAUAUCCAAAUACACAAAGAAUUCAACAUCAAAAAACAAACCCAAUUAAAAAAUGGGCAAAGGAUCUGAAUAAACACUUUUCCAAGGAAGACAUACAGAUGGCCAACAGGCACCUAAAAAGAUGCUCAACAUCGUUAACCAUCAGAGAAAUGCACACCAAAAUCACAAUGACCUGUCAUUUCACAUCUGUCAGAAUGCCUAUUAUCAAAAAGAUAACAAAUAUCAAGUGUGGGUGAGGAUGUGGAGGAAAGGGAACCCUCGUGUACUGUUGGUGGGAAUGUAAAUUGGUGCAGCCACUAUGGAAAACAGUAUGGAGAUGCCUCAAAAAAUUAAAAACAGAACUACCACAUGAUCCAGCAAUAUCUCUCCUUGGAUAUUUAUCUGAAGAAAACAAAAACACUAAUUAGAAAAAAUAUAUGCACCCCUAUUUCACUGCAGCACUAUUUACAAUAGCCAAGAUAUGGAAGCAACCUAAGUACCCAUCUACAGAUGAAUAGAUUAAGAAAAUGUGAUAUAUACAUAUAUAUAAACAAAAUAUCAGACAUAAAAAAGAAUGAAAUCUUGCCAUUUGUGACAACAUGGAGGGCAUGGAGGGACCCAGAGGGUAUUAUGUUUAGUGAAAUAAGCCAGACAAAGACAAAUAUUAUGUGAUUUCACUAAUAUGUAGAAUCUAAAACAAAACAAAUGAACAAACAGAACAAAAUAUAAACAAAAUUAUAGAUACAGAGAACAGGUGCAUGACAAAGUGGAGGGGGAAGGGGUAGGAAAGAAAUAGAUGAGGGAGAUAGGGAUACAAACUUCCAGUUGCAAAAUAAAUGAGUCUCGGGGAUGAAAUGUACAGUGUGGGGAAUAUAGUCAAUAACUAUGUAAUGUCUUUGUACGGUGAGAGAUCUUAACUAGACUUACUGGGGUGAUUAGUAUGAAAUGUACAGAAACAGUGAAUCACCAUGUUGUAUAACAGGAACUAAAUAAACAAACAAAUAAAAACUCAUAGAAAAAGAGAUCAGAUUUGUAGUUACCAGAGGCAGGGAUGGGGGGCUGAGGGGAGGGGAAGGAAGAAGGUGGUCAAAAUGUACAAACUUCCAGUUAUAAUACUUGGCAUAUGAGGUAGAACAUGAUAAAUAUAGUUAACACUGCUGUAUGUUAUAUAAAAAAGUUGUUAAGAGUAAAUCCUUAGAGUUCUUAUCAUAAGAAAUAAAUUUGUUUUCCUGUUUAAUUGUGUGUCUAAAUGAGAUGAUGGAUGUUCACUAAACUUAUUGUGGUAAUCACUUCAUGAUGUAUGUGAUCAAAUCAUUAUAUUGUAAACUUUAAACUUAUACAGUACGGUAUGUCAAAUAUAUUUCAGUAAAACUGAAAGGAAAAAAAAAACGUUGGAAGGUCCAGAUCACAUAGUAGGUCUGUUUCACUCCAGCGGGUCCAUACCCCUGGGAGUUCUAAGUCAUCUCCAGGGCAUUCUCUGCUUAAACAUUUGUGAGAAGGGGCUCCUUCCCUCCUGUGGGGAGCAUUUCAUCUUUGGGCAGUUCUUUUGGAAAACCUUCCCUUCAAUCAGCUCUACCGGAAAACUUUUUCCUUUCCCUCUACCUCCCCCCAUUGGCUGGCCUUAGUUCUGGUCCUCUCUCCUCUGCUGCUCUCCUCCAACUCUGAAACCAAGGGCUGCCUAAGAACGCAACAUGAGCUGGUGGGACGCCUUGCCGGUCUUGCUUCGGGCCUUGGACCAGGUCCUGCUGCUCUCCAAGUAUCAGUUUCCUAAUUUGUAAAAUGGUGGUACUAUCUAGAUGAGGCCAAGGUGACAAAUUAACUUCUAUUUUUCCACCAAGCUGGGCUACCAGAGCAAAGAGUAGGCAGGUACCAAAAGAGUCUUAAAAUUAGACUAAGAUGUUUAGCUUUGGACCUCUCUAUAAAAUGGGGAUUAAAAAUGUACUUAUUUCACAAGAACAGUGUGAAAAUUCAAUAGUAAUACAUGGCAAGCUCUUAGAACUAUGUGUAACACAUAGUAGACUUUAAGCAAAUGCCAGCUAUUAUUUCUGUUCUUAUUAUUAGACCAAGGUUCAGCUUGAGUCUUAGAACCUUCUCCAUGGCCUAUAAGACCCUGCAGGUUUCCUCAGCCUUGACUAGGGCCAGGCUGCUUCACCUCGCACGUGCCACGUUCUCUUCAGCCUCAGGACCUUGGCUCAUGUUGGUCCCUCUGCUGGGCUCUCUCCUACUGAUCUCAUAGUUCUUUGAGGAGGCCUUCUGCUCUCCCCCUCCACGUCUCCUUCGGCUCUCUCAUCAGUUUGCUGAGCUGCUCACUCCUGACCACGAGCUCUGUGCACCAGGCCUAGGUCAGCACUGGGCCCAGAGACAGUACCAAUGAGUAUGGCUGACAAGUGAGGAGGGAAGGGAAGAAGGCCAGUUCCUUCUCUCUUCAUCCCCAUCCUCAGUGUCUGGCAAAACUAAGGAGGCCCUGAGACACCAGGUGAUUGGGCAGGGUAACUGGGUCUCCACAGACACCAAGUUCUCCCAGGCUCAUGCAAAAGUUCUGGAUAAAGCAUCUUUUGCAUUGUGCUGAGGUAAUAGGCAGGAAGGACUGGGGUAGCAAUCUACAAGGAAGAGGGGCUUUGUCUCUGGGGCCAACCUCCUCCCUAAAACUCUGCUUUCUUCUGGGGUCUAUGCCUCCAAGUACUCCAUGGUCCAAAGCAGCCACUCCUUCCACCUUUCUGCCUGAAGCUGCCUCCACUCCCUCAUCUGGUGCUGAUCAAUGCCGCAUGCUGUGGAGAGCACUGGACUGAGAGUCAGCAGGUGUGGGCUUCACGCCCCAGCUCUGUCACUGGCUUGCUUGCGGUUAGUCCAUUCUGCUGUCUGGGAUGCUGGCAAAGUCUGGGACUUUCCUCAUCUGCAAAUGAAGGGGAUCACCUCAGAGGGCUCUUACUAGUGCUGCCGCAUGAGGAGGAUGAAAAUAACUCACCCAUGGGCAAAUAUGUGACCACCUGUGUUCCUCUCUCAAGGGUAUCCAAAAGUUCUGAUAAUUUAGUGCGGAGGGUGAGAGGCAACAUUCUGGAGUAGGACUUGUUGCCUCCACUUCAAAGCCUGCUGAGCCUUGCCCUCCAACCUGCAGAUUCCAGAGGAAAAGGGCAAUGGGCAGGUCUGUGACCAGGGCCAGCUCCUCAGAGGGCCAGACCUUGCCGGGCUCUGCCCCAGUGGCCUCAACCUCCUCACCCCAGCACCGCCUCCAACUAGCCCAGACAAGUCCCGGAUAUUUUCAGCCACCUUUAUCUGAUCGGAAAUGUUUGGAAUUCCACAGCAGAAGGCAAUGGCUCUGGAGGAUUUGGGGACGGUAGCAAAUCCACCCCUCCAACAUAUGAAUGCUCACACACACACCCUUGUAACCAAAACCUCAGAGCUGAAGUCUCCCUCAGGCUGCAUUUCGUACAUUCUGGUUUCUUCCAGUCUUCUCAUUUCAUCUCCAACUCAGUCCACCUGCCUACCUCAAGGUGCAGAACAGCAAGAUGCCUGAGGUGGUGCCAGGAGAGCUGGCAUACUCUGUAGCCAAUGAUGCUGGGGGACAGCACCUGGAGGUUUGCUGUUCAUAGUCAGUGCCCACAGGACCAAUAAAUUACAGAUCACCAGCAGCAGCAGCAGGAGGCCCAGAAGCAACUCACUGAGUCACCUGAUGUGGCAUGGGGACCACUCAGAAACCAUGUAUCAUGAUCUGUGGUUGACAGAGAUGUCUAGUUUGACCCCGACCCUAGACAGAUGGGAAACUAGACCCGAGGAGGUGAAAGGAUUACCCCACACAGCCUCUUCACCCCUGGAGCCCAAUGGUGUGGAUCUAUAAAGUGAGAACACUGUCCUUAUGUCACAGACUCAGCAGCAAGAAUUAAAUGGUCCAUGGAAAGCACCUAAUAAAUGUGAACUGUUAUCUUUUUAUAUCUAAACAUGAAUGACCCUAUUUGUGCUUCUCACCUUGUUUUCUCAUUAUUUACAGCCACAAAUAAAAAAAUAACAUCUCACAUUGA